AUUGAACGCUGGCGGCAUGCUUUACACAUGCAAGUCGAGCGGUAACAGGCCUUCGGGUGCUGACGAGUGGCGCACGGGGGAGUAAUGCAUCGGAACGUACCCAGAGGUGGGGGAUAACGCAGCGAAAGCUGUGCUAAUACCGCAUGUGAUCUGAGGAUGAAAGCGGGGGACCGAGCAGCAAUGUUUGGCCUCGCGCCUUUGGAGCGGCCGAUGUCGGAUUAGCUAGUUGGUGGGGUAAAGCCCUACCAAGGCGGCGAUCCGUAGCUGGUCUGAGAGGACGACCAGCCACACUGGGACUGAGACCCGGCCCAGACUCCUACGGGAGGCAGCAGUGGGGAAUGUUGGACAGUGGGCGCAAGCCUGAUCCAGCAAUGCCGCGUGCGGGAAGAAGGCCUUCGGGUUGUAAACCGCUUCUGGCAGGAACGAAACGGUGUCCGCUAAUACCGGGCGCUAAUGACGGUACCUGCAGAAUAAGCACCGGCUAACUACGUG
rnacentral:rRNA from 1 species